rnacentral:rRNA from 1 species
CCGCGAACGGGUGAGUAACACGUGGGUCACCUGCCUCGAUGACUGGGACAACCCGGGGAAACUCGGGCUAAUACCGGAUGUGCCCGCAAGGGGAAAGGAAGCUUCGGCCUCCGCAUCGAGAUGGGCCCGCGGCCCAUUAGCUUGUUGGUGAGGUAAAGGCUCACCAAGGCUCCGAUGGGUAGCUGGUCUGAGAGGACGAUCAGCCACACUGGGACUGAGACACGGCCCAG